UUGAGCGGCUUGAUGUGAAAGUAUCACGAGCCGUUCUGAGGGGAGGGAGACAGGGCGACCUGCUCUCUCUUACCCGAC
rnacentral:ncRNA from 2 species